GAUGAACGCUGGCGGCGUGCCUAAUACAUGCAAGUCGAGCGAACGGACGAGAAGCUUGCUUCUCUGAUGUUAGCGGCGGACGGGUGAGUAACACGUGGAUAACCUACCUAUAAGACUGGGAUAACUUCGGGAAACCGGAGCUAAUAACGGCUAAUAUUUUGAACCGCAUGGUUCAAAAGUGAAAGACGGUAUUGCUGUCACUUAUAGAUGGAUCCGCGCUGCAUUAGCUAGUUGGUAAGGUAACGGGUUACCAAGGCAACGAUGCAUAGCCGACCUGAGAGGGUGAUCGGCCACACUGGAACUGAGACACGGUCCAUACUCCUACGGGAGGCAGCAGUAGGGAAUCUUCCGCAAUGGGCGAAAGCCUGACGGAGCAACGCCGCGUGAGUGAUGAAGGUCUUCGGAUCGUAAAACUCUGUUAUUAGGGAAGAACAUAUGUGUAAGUAACUGUGCACAUCUUGACGGUACCUAAUCAGAAAGCCACGGCUAACUACGUG
rnacentral:rRNA from 1 species